rnacentral:misc_RNA from 1 species
UGGGUUACUCCAGGAAGGAUUUGUCGGAAUGGGAAAUUGGAUGAGGUUUUCUGUCCCACGGGGUUCGCCGGGUCCUCCUCCACCUUGUUCAGUUGUUCCGCCUCCGUCCGUUUUAUUUGGUUCGUCGUCCCCAGUUCCGCCGCGGCCUGAUUCGGUUGUUCUGCCGAUGCCUACCCCAAUAGUUCCGCCGCCUCUUUGUUCGAUUGUUCCGCCGCCUCCUUGUUCGAUUGUCUCGUUCAGUUGUUCUGGGGCCGGGUGGUGGAAGUCGGCAAGCAGAACAGGUAGGAACGCAGUAACCAAAUGCAAGUUUAUUUUGUUGGCAAAAAUAGCAGCUCGGGAAGCAGUGGCAACAGUGGAAUGGAUGGGGAGGAGGAUAUAUUGGGAAGCAAUCCAGAGGUGGUACAUGUUGGCAACAACUGCAGUUAGUUACGUACAUUUCCAACCUCCUCAUCUCUUCCCUCAUCGCAACCCAUCUCUCUUUCAC